CAGUUUUCUGAUCAUCUGAGGAUCAGCUAUUAGAAAAAGAACGAUCAGUCGUGUUCUUUGUACCUGAUCGACUUAAUACAGGCGCUACUGAUUCCAACUACUUCAGCCCAAAUCUUUCUGAAACAAUGAAAUACGCAGGCUAUAUCUUAGCUCUGCAGCUUUGUGUCAUGUU
rfam:Erinaceus europaeus unplaced genomic scaffold scaffold00379, whole genome shotgun sequence